UACGUAGGGUGCGAGCGUUGUUCCGGAAUUAUUGGGCGUAAAGAGCUCGUUAGGCGGUUUGUUGCGUCGGCUGUGAAAUCCCUCGGCUCAACCGGGGAAACUGCGUCUGAGACUGGGAAGGCUUUGAAUUCGGGAGAGGGAUGUGGAAUUCCAGGUGUAGCGGUGAAAAUGCGUAGAUAUCUGGAGGAACACCCGGUGGCGAAGGCGACUACCUGGCCUGUUC
rnacentral:rRNA from 1 species